AAGAAGGGUAGAAAAGACUUUGAAGUGAGCACCCCAACUCACACCCCCUGCUAUUCUGCUUAGACAACAAGCACUUCACAACUCAUUCCUUCCAUCUUUAGAAGCAAGCUGCCACUGACUGAUAAGAAAAACAGAGAAGCCUCAAGAAGAAACCAACCCAGGAAAACUCUCCAAGACUUCAACAUGAACUGCUUUGCAGUGUUUUCUUUGCUCUUUUAUGAGUAAAUGACCCUGAUGAAAGCAGAAAAAAGGAAGCAGGAAAAUAGUCUUCCAGCCAAUAAAAAAAAAAUCCAAAUACAAUAUAGAGACCCUCAUAUGAAUCUCAUCAAAUGAAUUGCGUCAAGGGUAGAUGUUACAAAGGUAGAUGUUGUUACCUCCCUUUUACAGAUGAGCAAAGUGAGACACAGAGAAGUUAAGUGACAUACUCCAGGUCACAGAGCAAGCCAGUAGCAGAGUUG